rnacentral:rRNA from 1 species
UACGUAGGGUGCAAGCGUUGUCCGGAAUUAUUGGGCGUAAAGAGCUCGUAGGCGGUCUGUCGCGUCGGAUGUGAAAACCCAGGGCUCAACCCUGGGCCUGCAUUCGAUACGUGCAGACUAGAGUUCGGUAGGGGAGACUGGAAUUCCUGGUGUAGCGGUGAAAUGCGCAGAUAUCAGGAGGAACACCGGUGGCGAAGGCGGGUCUCUGGGCCGAAACUGACGCUGAGGAGCGAAAGCGUGGGGAGCAAACAGG